rnacentral:lncRNA from 1 species
GGGUUCACAAAAUGGAUUUAACCAAUUGGGCUCCCCAGUUCUUCUUCCAGACUCCACCCCUCCAACACUGUCUCCAAUGACUUCCUGGCAUCACUGAACAGGCUCCCGCUGAAGUAACCCAGACGCCAGGGAUAUCUCUGCCUGCUCCACUCUGACCCUAGUGCUCAAUGUGCCUGCCAGGCCUUGCUAGGGAUGCUGUGCCAGUGUGAGGAGGAAGGUGGUCUCCAGCUCUCACCCCAUAGAAGCUUUCUGCCUCAGUUUCCCUAACCUGGAACACCACAGUGACUCCCGAAUUGAAAAACACUGC